UUGCAUGACGCCUCUCUCCCAGUUCUCCGACUCUCAUUUUCCUCGGAAUGUCUAUCGUAGACCUCUCAGUCAAGGCUGACAGCCCGUGAUGCGUCGCACCUCAGCCUGCAUCAGGACAUUGAGCUUGCCGCGGAUGGAAUCAUCAUGGCCUAUGGUUGUCUAUACCAGACAAUUCAGUCCAGCUGAGAGAAUGAGCUUCGGAACUUAACCCUAAGUAUCCUUUUGGUUCAAGUCUUGCGCCCGCAGUCGUCGAACCUGUCUUUUAAAUCCGCCCUGAUUCUCGAUGAAACGCCGCUGAAAAGUGGUAUCGUGCUCGAGGACCGCGGUGGAUGGACUGGCAGGGAACACAUUCCAGUCACCAUUUGGUGCGCGAAAGGGGGUUACUAUGAGUCGUAUGGGUAAGAGCCUCUGGUCCGAGGCCACUCGUCAGAACCUAUCCGCUGGAACCAGAACUCUGGCCAAGAAUAGGUCGCCCGGAGAAGAUGGCAGACAUGGCUUGCAGGGUCGAGUUGGCAACAAGCUGCUGUCCUGGGGUGUUGCUACGGACAAGUGGAAGGAGCAUUGCGUUUGCCACGAACGGUCAACAUCGAAGUUUCAAUCCACCCACAAUCUGCCUUGGACUCGACUCGCCGGUCGUACCACAGUACUGCGAUGUUUCCAGGCCUACAAACAGAAACUUUUCGAUCUGACGAAUCCCAUCGCCACGCUCAGUUCUCGGCACCCACUUGUCCAGUACACCACCCCCGGACUCACCUCGCAGCCAAGAAGUUGCCAGUAUCGGACUCAGCAGCCAGUUGGCUUCUCUCCGAGCCACACCCACGGCAAUUGCCACGGAUGUGACAUGUCCGCAUGUGAUCUGGCCAGGCGCAUCAGCCUCCGGUCGUGGGUUCUGUCCCACGGCAUCGGAGGACGCCAAGUCCACGUUGAUCCCACUGGGAACCAACACUUGCCCGGUGGUCUUGCCCCAGCGAGAAGCACCGGAUGAGAGCGCGAUUUUUCAUGGAUGUUUUUUGUCCGCGCGGAAUGCCCUCCAUUGCGUUUCGAGCAAGGAGAGGAAACAAAAACUAGUCCAAAGAGGUCGUGCGAUUCAAACAGAGAGAGCUUCUUCGAGUGCUCGAGAGUACGCAGACUGGGAUCCAAUUCGCCGAACUCCGGAUGGCUGUGUAAGUGAAGGCUGUGGCUCAUGAGCGGGAGACAGCUUAGGCGACACACGCAAAGGCUCCGGGUGGGAGGGCUAGACUGGCUGAACAGGUCUGAAGCGAUGCCGGGACCCAUCUCGUGUUGGAGUCAAAGUUUUGUGCUUGUCCGGGAUCGUGGAAGACCCAAAUUGCUGGCCUGUGCCCUGCCACUAUGAGUCUCGGCGAUCGCUGGACAGAAAAGGGCAGGCCUAUGGACGGCAGUCCUGGUUGCCAUCUCUCCAGAAAUGGCGAGAUUGGCAACCCC
rnacentral:telomerase_RNA from 1 species